ACAAAAGUAAGUUCCUCUGUGUCACCUGUGUCCCUGUUCAACCCAACGGUAUCUCUGCACGGCUUCCACUUUAGAAAGUUGGCUGGAGUAAUGGACUGGCUUGUUGCUGUGACCCUGCUGCAUCAUUAGAGGUGGAGAUCUGUUACCUGUCAAGGCCGAGGCAGCUCCCGGUGAAUGGUAGGCUAUGGGGAGAGGAUGAAACAGCGGCAUCUAAACUCUGGAGGGAAAAAGUCGGGAAGAUGAGAUGAGACCUUCAAAGUGACACUUUCAAAGAAGACAACCUGUCUAUUUGACGCAUGAAGAUCUGUCACGUGUAAUUUUUUUUAAGGAAUGGCGCCGAGUUUCAGCAUUAAAAUGUGUCAGUCCUUUGCCCAAGGACAGCUCAGUUUGCCUUUGCCACCUUUUACAGCUGUAGCCCUUAGCGAGAAAAGAGGGGGAAAGCGUUUGUCUUGACAUACCAAUGUACAACUCCAUAGAGAAGAAAUUAAAAGUUAGAGCAUGAAUGGCUGUGACAAUGUUUAUUAUUUAUUUAUUUAUUUAUUUAUUUAUUUAUUUAUUUAUUUAUUUGCUAUAUAUGGCUUCAUGGAAGGUUGAGAACUAAUAGUGGAAGCAUAAUUUGGAGCUGUUUUUCAGUUCCUUGCCAACUUCUUGUUCUUGUUCACUGUCAAAGCAAAAACAGGCUAUACAUACUGAUAACAUUACAGCCGGAGUUAAAGCUUUUUGGAAAUUUGCCAUCACGAAUAUUGAGUGGGCGUCCACUGGAUGUAGAGGUAGCUAAUGCGUAGAUGUCAUACUCUUGUGGUGUAAAUACCAAAUAAAAUAAGUUUAUUUUGAUAGUCAGCUUGUAAGCAAGGAAUUCAACAUUGUUACAAACAAAGAGAUUUGCUGAUGUCUGUGGCCCCCUGGUACUAGAAAAGAAGAGACCCCUAGAAUGGGCCCUUA